rnacentral:tRNA from 5 species
GGAGAUGUACCCAAGUCCGGCUGAAGGGGACUGACUCGAAAUCAGUUAGGCGUCUUGCGGCGCGCGGGGGUUCGAAUCCCUCCAUCUCCGCCA